UGCUGUGGCUGUGCUGGGAGGGGAAGCAGCGUGCCAGGUUACGGGCAGGAGGAAGCGCUCGCUCACCUGCGGACAAGGGAGAUAUUCAAUUUCAAGGCAAGAUCAUAUUUCCUCUUUAAAAUCCAGACAGAUAGAGAUAGCUGUUGACCCCAGCAGCAUUACGUGACCUUAUCUACCACACAGAUAUUUUCCUGAGGUUUUCUAUUAGAGAGGCAGGCCCUGGGCUCCAAGGUUGAACAUGGGGGUGAUGCUGAGGUUUGAACCCACCCACCCACACUGAGUAGAGGUGGCUGGUGGGGCACACAAGGUGCUCUGUGUGACUGGCUGGGUGAAGCAAAGAGAGCAUCAUCCACAGGAAAACAGCUCCCUAAAAUCAGUGUAGAAAUGCUCAGUAAAUCACUUGAGUGUGAUCUUGAGCAUCUCUUGAAAUGUUUUGCUGAAGGGGGGCCCAGCGGAGGAAAAAGUCCUUGGGCAAAUCACGGUGUAUAAAUACCUCUGGUGUGAGUGUAAUUAAGGCCACAGCCCUGUCACACGAUGCAGUCAGCAAUAAAUGGGUUCCUGAAUUAGAGAGAAUCUCUGCUGUAUUUCAGAUGUGACUGUUUGAGUUACAUGUAUAAAAUGGCCUUUGAAAUAGCAGCUGUGUCUGCGUUAUCUUCUUCUGAGAGAUAAGCAAUUAUGAGAAUGUUAUAAUGAUUUCUUUAAAAAAAAAAAUUGGGUUUAAACAGCAAUUGCUUUUCAGUGCAGGAGAUAUUUAAACAUCAGUACCUUGAAUUGAUUAAAAAGAGCUGCACUGAUAAUGCAAUUUUGUAGCUUGUGAUUUGCACUGAGCAGUGCAAUGAAUCAUGAUGAAAGGCUGCAGAGGAGGUGUCUGAUGGGACCUUCGGCCACUUUGGUGGCUCUGAGGUGGUGUGUUCAUCUCACAAAGGAAGCUGCACUUGUAUCAAACUCCUCAUUAGCGCUGGUGUGUGUUUAGUGGCAGGUUGUUGUUCAUUAGCAGUGAACAUGGGAAUACCUUGCCUUGCUGAAGGGCCUCUUAGGAGAGUCGUGUUUCUAAGGGAUACUCUGCAUUCCUCUGCACACUGAUGCCUUCUAUACUUGAAGGAAUUUAAAUAUCACACUUCUGCAAUUUGUAUUUCUCCUGACUGCUUAUUAGUCAGAGCAAUUACAUGUAUUUUUCACACUUUCCUGAAUGCACAACAGAUUCCUUCCACUUGGAUAGCUAACUGCUGGAAAACAAAAUCUCCCAACUAAUAGAUAGUAUCAUUGAAUUCUUGGAUCACAGAAGAAUUUGUAUAUGCUCCUUGAAUCACAAGGCAAUUUAUUCAAGCCCUCUUGGAAUCUGUUCUCUUGCAGCACAGAACUCUGGUGCUGGUUUCUGAGUAGGGAGCAGAGAGAUGCUCACUGUUUGAGUGUGUUCAUGUAUCUCAUGGGCACUGGCAGGAUGCUGUAAGCAGAUAGAGCAGUUACCAAGGUGAGCUGGACUCUGUCUCUUUGUUCUUUGAAUUCCUUUUUGCAGAGUGUAAAAAACCCAAGAACAACAACAACAACAAACAACAAAAGCGGGGGGAGGGUGUUUCAUUUCACUGAGCUACACUCUGAGCAUCAUUAAUUUCACUUCUGCUUGAGGUGACACUUAGGUCUAGAAUCCUUCUGUACCCUGGCUCCUGCAAUUAGUCUGCUACCUCCUCAAUGGGGUCUCAACUGUCUAAAUCCUUGUCUUCAAGCAAGUACUGACAGCCCCCUCGUGUUAAGUUUUGUAAACACUAAUUUGUGACAUCUCCCGUGGCUUAAAUCAAAGCACUCAAGUAAAAGUAAUAAUACCACUGUUAAAGUGAACGUUACAGAAGAAAAUGCCUGUCACCUGAUGCUAAAUGGAUAUGACACCGAGCAUGUUUCAGGAGAGGCUUCUAAUGAGGAGGCGCUGGGGAAGCAACGCCGUGUGCGCAGCCCCGGCUGUCAGCUCCCGGGGCCUGCUUGGCACAAAAAGGGAGAGCAGUGCUUGUUCCCAGCCUGUUUUGCAUUUUGCUCAGGUGCACAUAAAAGGAGGAGAGUGGCCUGGCUCCUGCAAGUCUUUGUGUGAAUGGCAGCAGUGAGAUCCACUGGUGCAUUGGAUCACAGAGAGCCCUGCUAGUGCUCAGUGCUGGACAUUCAAGUGUCUCCCUGUCCUGUAAAAUUCAGUUUAGUAAGCAGGAGACACUGUUACUUGAAUUUAUCCUUAGACUAUAGAGCUCUUUUUUAUUUAUCAUUGGUCUCUCUAUUUCUUCUUUUAAAUCCAGCCUUGCAGUCUUUCUUCUGUAAUCACAUUGUAUAAAUUGAAUGCAUCUUUCCCCCUUUUCCUUUGUAACGCCCUGAACAUUGUUGUUGUAUUAUCUGAACUUUCUGUGUCUAGCAAUACUGGAAACAAUAGGAGCCCUUGAACCCAAAACUGAGUGUCACACUUGGUAAUUUUCAAAGAAACUUCUGUGAGCAUUCAUAGUACAUCCAUAAUACAGACUUUCCAGCAGGUAGCUGAGCUGGUUGUACCCAUCUGCUGUGUUUGAGCCUGUUGAAGGAUAAAAUAAACCUCUGCCAGCAUACAAGAAGCCCAAGCAAACCGGGAAAACAGACAAGAUUAUCAACAUUUGCCUGAAACUGCACAGAGCAGUGAUGGUGUGGAGCUCAGAGCUGCAGCGGGAGGGAGAGAAUGGAGACAGGAGGAGAGGUGAUGCCCAGGAAGCAGGGUGUCAGCUGGAGCUGAGGGGGAGAAGUGAAGGCAGGAACACAAGAAACACCUCCUCACCUUCAGUGUAGGAGGAGGUUUUGCUUCCUGUGACCCACGAGUGCUCUGUGCCUGCCGGAGACACCGCUGGGCAGCGAGCCAUUGCGCAGAGGCUGUCUGACAAGUGCUGUGGGGACGCCGCUGCCCCCUUGCUGCGAUGCCCUGCGUGGGGAGGAAGAGAUUUUGUGGAGCUGGUGCCAGCGCUCAGCAGCUGCAGCCCUGGCCCUGCGCCGUGUCCAGGGGCACAGGUGGCACUGGCAGCUCUUCUGGUGGAUCCACAGCAGCUCCCUUGGGCCAGCCCAGCUGCACCAGUUCCCAUCAGAGAGCAGGUUUGGUCUUGCAGGGCAGCUCACGAGUCCCUGGCUCAGAGCUGGGGUGCAGAAGGCAGCGGUGCCCUACACUGCCCAGCUCCUCCCCUGCCUAGUGCUCAUUAAUCCUUUACUCAUAAAAGCAUAAAAUUAGUAAGGUUGGAAUUAAACCUUUUCAGCCGUUCCUCUGUCAAGAAUGUUUCUAAUGUCCUUUAUUUCCUUUUUUAAUUAAUUUAACUGGAAAAAGCACUUUCUUUUAUUUUCUUAUUUCUCUAUUCCUUUAUGAUUAGGGGAAACCCCAUCUAGUAAGUCUGAGUGCUUCUACCAUGGAAAUAUUUAGUACCAGCUCUGGCAUAUUUAUGUUGGCUCCCUGAUUAGACAAUGUGCCAAGCUGUCCUUUGUGGCCUUAAUUAUCACAACUUCAGGCCAGCGUUGCCUGCUUAGAGCAUAAUCCCACGGCCUAGAGUGAACCCUGAAAAUGCUUAAUUAAAUGACAUUCCACAACAGAUUAAGGAGUCAGAAGCCCAAGAUAAAGGGAAAGGGAGGCUGUGACCAUAGGAGUGGCAGGUGCUCUUCCUUCUCAGGAUAAUGCUCCUGACAUGGACUGUUUCAUUUUGAGCACAUUAAAAAAACAACAUUAUUUGGCAACAGUUUGGGGUCUACACUUGGCUUCUUGCAUUUUCAGUGGACAGUGGUUCAGGGAGAUCCUGCCUUGGGAUGCAGUGGACUCUCACAGAUUUUACAUCAGUUGAGGACCUGCUCUGUGCUCAGGUUUUUGGGUACCUGCAUGAGGCCCUUUGCCAAAGUCAGUGGAUGCCUUUGCAGUUCUGAAACCCAGGGUGAGCAUCGGGGUCAGACACCAAAAAUCUGUUGUUUUAAAAAAACAAACAAACAAAAAAAAACCCCCAAAAAUUCUAAACAAACUACCCUAAACCACCCCACCCCUCUUUCCCCAUGUAAAAGCUAGUGUGCAGUUAUUUGGAGCAGGCAGGAUCACAGUGUGUUAGGGAGCCCUGCGGGAGCCAAAGCCACGUCUAACCACAGAAGAUCAGCACACAAAUACAAAUGCUGAGAUAAUGUUACAGUGCACAGAUUAGGGCUCAAAUCUUCAGCAAAUCUGUUCAGAGCAAGGAAAUGACAGCACGUGGGGCACGUGCAGCACACUGAGCACGUCUCAUUCAGAGGCACAUCAGUAAAGGCAGUUAUUGCUAUUAUUGUGUUUUAUCAUAUUAUUCCUCAAUUAUUUGCUCCAGCAACUCUCUUGUCUUAGCUAAAUAAA